rnacentral:rRNA from 1 species
UACGGGGGGGGCAAGCGUUGUUCGGAAUUACUGGGCGUAAAGGGCUCGUAGGUGGCCAACUAAGUCAGACGUGAAAUCCCUCGGCUCAACCAAGGAAGUGCAUCCGAAACUGCCGUACUUGAGUACUUAAGAGGAUCGCGGAAUUCCCGGUGUAGAGGUGAAAUUCGUAGAUAUCGGGAGGAACACCAGUGGCGAAGGCGGCGAUCUGGGAAGAUACUGACGCUGAGGUGCGAAAGCGUGGGGAGCAAACAGG